rnacentral:rRNA from 1 species
GACAGAGGGUGCAACCGUUGCUCGGAAUCACUGGGCGUAAAGGGCGUGUAGGCGGGAAGGAAAGUCAGAUGUGAAAUCCCCAGGCUCAACCUGGGAACUGCAUUUGAAACUCCCUUUCUUGAGUACCGGAGAGGAAAGUGGAAUUCCUGGUGUAGAGGUGAAAUUCGUAGAUAUCGAGAGGAACACCGGUGGCGAAGGCGGCCAACUGGACGAAGACUGACGCUGAGACACGAAAGCGUGGGGAGCAAACAGG